CCUACGGGAGGCAGCAGUAGGGAAUUUUCGUCAAUGGGCGCAAGCCUGAACGAGCAAUGCCGCGUGAACGAGGAAGGUCUUCGGAUCGUAAAGCUCCGUUUAAGGGGAAAAAGAGUGGAGAGAGGAAAUGGUCUCCGAUUGAUAUUACCCUUCGAGGAAGUCACGGCUAACUACGUGCCAGCAGCCGCGGUAAUACGUAGGUGGCGAGCGUUAUUCGGAAUGAUUGGGCGUAAAGGGUGUGGGGGCGGGCUGUUAAGUCUGGAGUGUAAGGUUGCGGCUCAACCGGUUAAGUGCACUGGAAACUGGCAGGCUAGAGAACAGGAGAGGGCGGUGGAACUCCAGGUGUAGCGGUAAAAUGCGUAGAUAUAUGGAAGAACACCAGUGGCGAAGGCGGCCGCCUGGCCUGUUACUGACGCUGAGGCACGAAAGCGUGGGGAGCAAAUAGGAUUAGAUACCCGUGUAGUC
rnacentral:rRNA from 1 species